GGCUUUCUCACCGAACCUCUUGGUUUUGAACCCUUGCAUUCUGGCUUCUGUCUAGAUGGCUCUACUGAGAAGUUCUUGAGAUGCUAAGAUUCCUCUUGUCAUCAAGGCUGAAGACUGGGAAACAUCCAAACCUCUAGUCCAUGUGAAUCUCAAUUAUGAGAAAACUGGUGGGGACUUGGAUGAAUCUGGAAACCAUCAUUCUCAGCAAACUGACACAAGAACAGAAAGCCAAACAUCGCAUGUACUCACUCAUAGAUCUGAAAUUAUUCUGCAUUGACUGAAUAAGGACAGUGGGAGACUGCUUACAAAAUAACCAACUUCUAAACUUUGACUUCCUGCUCACUCGACUAUGGCCACCAAGUAAUAUCUGGCACUACCAGACGUGGGGAAAUAAAAGCCUAUGUGAUCACUAAGAGAAGCCCACUGGCAUUUAAUGUUCUCUAUUUCUCUCCUUCCUCAUAUGCCUUUAGGAUUAAAGCCUGGGCCACCUAAUCAACUUGGAGCUGACAUAUUAAACAGUCAAAGGACAAAAGCUGGAAAGGUCUACCAUGUACCCCUCAAACCCGAACCUUGGGAAGAUUUCUAGUCAUUUCCAUGUGAAAGGGUAUUUUUCAUUGGAUGAACUCCAAAUGUUUCUGAAGAGCAUUUAUGAUGGGCUGAGAUAGUAGCCUGGUGAGAAUAGCAUGAGAUGAAACGCGUUACCUUCCUUCUCCUGCCUUCUUUCCUCCAUACUAGAAGGCUGAAUCUGGGCUACAGAUGCCCAGAAUGUGAUUUUUAAUAAAAUGAGUUAUAGUAGCAAGAAGGAGAGUGAGGGAUAGUAUGAAGAUUAACAGCAUGGAGUGAGAGAGACUAGACUGUGGGAUUCAGGCCUCACCAUGUAUUAGAUGUGCACCUUUGGGUAAGUAACUUAACCUCUCUGAACCACUGUCCUCUUCUUGAUCAAAUGGGGAUAACAUAUAACAAACUUUUCACAUUAGCUGUAUAAUAAAAAUAAAUGAUGCACAUAAAGCUAUUAUUCUGUUUCUUUGUUUUGUUUUACUUUUGAGAUGGAGUCUUACUCUGUCACCCAGAUUACUGUGCAGUAGUAUGAUCUGAGCUCACUACAACCUUCACCUCCCAAGUUCAAGUGAUUCUCAUGCCUCAGCCUCUCGAGUAGCUGGGAUUAUAAGUGCCCAUCACCACACCUGGCUCAUUUUUGUAUUUUUAGUAGAGACAGCGUUUUGCCAUG